AUAUCUCCAGUCACUAAGUAACUGUAGCAAGCAGCCGCUGCAAUGGCUUCCAAGCAAAUCUGUGCCCUCUUUUUAGUGUUCUCUCUUCUUCUCCACUCAACAUUCACCAGCGCCUGCAAUUCAUGCAAACCCAAGCCCACACCCACUCCUCCUCCUCCUCCUUCACCAGCAUGCCCUCCACCACCAUCAUCUUGCCCCAAGGACACAUUGAAGCUAGGUGUCUGCGCUGACCUCCUUGGACUUGUCAACAUAGUGGUGGGAUCACCUCCUUCAAGCAAAUGCUGCGCUUUGCUCUCAGGCUUGGCUGAUUUGGAGGCUGCCCUUUGCCUUUGCACUGCCAUUAAAGCCAGUGUACUUGGAAUUAACCUCAACAUCCCCGUUUCUCUUAGCUUAAUCCUUAGUGCAUGUCAGAAG
rnacentral:lncRNA from 1 species